rnacentral:rRNA from 1 species
CCUGAACGCUGGCGGCGUGGCUAAGACAUGCAAGUCGAACGGGCACCCGCAAGGGUGUCAGUGGCGGACGGGUGAGUAAUGUAUCGCUAACGUGCCCCGGAGCCUGGGAUAGCCGGCCGAAAGGCCGGGUAAUACCAGAUGAGACCACGGCCAGGCAUCUGGCAGUGCUCAAAGCCGCAAGGCGCUCCGGGAGCGGGCGAUAUCGUAUCAGGUAGUUGGCGGGGUAACGGCCCACCAAGCCGACGACGCGUAGCUGGUCUGAGAGGACGGCCAGCCACAUCGGGACUGAGACACUGCCCGGACUCCUACGGGGGCGUGCAGUAACGAAUCUUCCGCAAUGCACGAAAGUAGUGACGGAGCGACGCCGCGUGUGGGACGAAGUCC